rnacentral:misc_RNA from 1 species
GAUGAAGAACGUAGUAAAAUGCGAUACUUGGUGUGAAUUGCAGAAUCCCGUGAACCAUCGAGUCUUUGAACGCAAGUUGCGCCCGAAGCCAUUAGGCCGAGGGCACGCCUGCCUGGGCGUCACACGUCGUUGCCCCCCCCAUCUACUCCUUCGGGAUUGCGGGGGGCGGAUGAUGGCCUCCCGUGCGCCUCGCCGCGCGGUUGGCAUAAAUGCCAAGUCCUCGGCGACGCACGCCACGACAAUCGGUGGUUGCGAAACCUCGGUUGCCCGUCGUGUGCGGUCGUCGCGCAUCGAGGGCUCGAAAAAAUUGCCGAGUUCCGGCUCGGCUUUCAACGCGACCCCAGGUCAGGCGGGGUUACCCGCUGAAUUUAAGCAUAUCAAUAAGCGGAGGA